rnacentral:rRNA from 1 species
GGAGGGUGCAAGCGUUAUCCGGAUUCACUGGGUUUAAAGGGUGCGUAGGUGGGUCUGUAAGUCAGUGGUGAAAUCUCCGAGCUUAACUUGGAAACUGCCAUUGAUACUAUAGAUCUUGAAUAUUGUGGAGGUCAGCGGAAUAUGUCAUGUAGCGGUGAAAUGCUUAGAUAUGACAUAGAACACCAAUUGCGAAGGCAGCUGGCUACACAUAUAUUGACACUGAGGCACGAAAGCGUGGGGGAUCAAACAGGAUUAGAUACCCUGGUAGUCCACGCCCUAAACUAUGGAUACUCGACAUUUGCGAUACACUGUAAGUGUCUGAGCGAAAGCAUUAAGUAUCCCACCUGGGAAGUACGAUCGCAAGAUUG